AGGUGUGGACUCUUAACUGAGGCCAUUUUGUUCUAGUGACCCUGGAGGGCGAACUCCAUCUUUAACUCAAAAAACAUCUGUCUUUCUUCGUCUCCCUUUUGGUUUCGACCUCCUGAAGUGCACGAGGUCUCCCCCUCUCCGGGCUGCUCACACCUCUUCCCUUCCUUUCCCCUCCAUCUCUUUUUCAGACCAUUGGCUUCUAUCUCAGUAGCGGGGAUGUUUCUCAGGCUCCUGGUCUACUCAGCCAGCAGCGCUCCAUUUCUUCAGCAUCAGAUAUGGUGACUUUCUAUCCCUAAUUCUUAGAGGCAGCAGGCUCUGGUGGUUCACUGUCAAGAAACUAGAUGGAUUCUGACACAUGUGAUCUAAGUUCCUUCCUUUAAGUGCCUUCUGGACUCCGUGAAAUUUAAAGGUCCAAAGACCCAUCUCAUACUGACAACCAAAAGCUUUCUCAAGGUGCAGAGGACCUUCCUGGCUGAGCUACUCCAGAUCUGAAUGAACUUCACUGACUGCGAAAAUACCCACGGGAUAACUGCUUUCCUACGACAAAGCCCAAGAUGUGAAGAGAACAAGCUAAAAUUAUUUUUCAAAAUGGCACUGCAGUUUGGCACCAGGGAGGGUAUUGUACAGUCGGGAGGGAGCUUGCAGGUUUGGUCCUGUUUUUAAUCCCAAGAAUAAGGUGAAGCAUGAGAGACUGAGAUGGCUGGGGGUAAUGACAUCAAAUGUAAUAAAAUACCUAGGAAGGACUCCACAUGAAUCCUUCUGCGUCUGGCUUAUUUCAGCUAACAGGACAACCUCCAGUUCCAUCCAUGUGCGUGCAAAUUACAUCAUUUCAUUCUUUACCAAUGAAGAGACCGUUUUUAUAUAUCCCUCUUUCCACUGUCGUCUGUCGGUUGAUGGAUGUCCAGGCUGAUUCCAUAUCUUGUCUGUAGUGAACGGUCUUGCAAUAAAGACGAGUGUACAGGUGUCUGCGGACAUGUUGACUUGGAUUCCUUUGGGUGUUAUUCCCAGGGGUGGUACACCCAGAUGUAU
rnacentral:lncRNA from 1 species